CGUUUCUUAAACCCUAGACACCCCCUCACUCUCCUCCUUCUCUUGGCCUCUCCCUCAGCGAAGAACGAGGUGUGUUCUGUUGAUUUCAAGAUGCUUGUGUUAUUCGAAACCCCAGCGGGGUGUUGGCCCUUUUCAAAGUAUUCGACGAAGGGAAACUCUCCAAAGUCGAGUUGUCAUCGGAAUUUUCACCGCUCGGAGGAGAUGCCUAUCCCUGAAGACCAAUCUUCAGGGAUCAUAUCGGUGGAGGCAGGCAGAGCAACACCAAAGAGCAAAAAGACAAAAUUCACAAACGAGCAGUGGGCCAAGAUGUAAGAGUUCGUAGUGGGCAGAAACAACUGAAAGGGAUCGAGUAGUCAUCAAGGAGUUUUGUCAAGAGAUAGGAAUUCACCCAAAAGCUUACAAGACUUGGGUCAAGAACAACAAGGGUGCGUAGAGAAAUAGCGCGUGAUGUCCUAAUAUUUUUUGGUUGCUCGCUCUUUUUUGCUUGUUCGCCACCUAUAUUGUUGAGCGAACAAGCAAAAGAGAGCGAGUAGCCAUCGAAAAAUAUUAGGUCAUCAUCCGCUAUUUUUCUACGUACUCUUGUUGUUCUUGACCCAAGUCUUGUAAGCUUUUGAGUGAAUUUUUGUCUCUCGGCAAAAUUCCUUGAUGACUACUCACUUCCUUUUGGUUGUUCGCCAAUCACUAUGUUGAGCGAACUCCUGCAUCUUGGCUCGUGAACUUUGUUUUUUUCUUAUUCUGUUCAGCUUCUUGUUGUCAAUGGAAUUUUCACCGCUCUAAGGAGGUGCCUAUUAUCGCAGAGACCAAUCUCACUGGCAUGAUCUGUUUCAAGGAUCACAGCCAUCUCAAAGACCUCCGUAGGCACCUCCUCCAAGCGAUGGAAAUUCUGUUAACAACAAUAAACUGCAUACAAUAAGAAAAUACAAAGUUUACUACGGACGAGCAGGGGGCCAAGAUGCAGGAGUUUGCUUAAUGUUGUGGGUGGCGAACCAAAAUGGAGCGAUUAGUCUCAAAGAGUUUUGCCAAAUGAUAGGAAUUCACUCAAAAGUUUAAGGACCUGGGUUUUAUAAGUCCAAGCCAAAUCUGAAGCUGCCUCCUACAAAGGUUGCACUAAGGGUUCAACCAUGUCGCCCGCUAACAUGAAUGCCGCUGCUGCAAAAAAGCUAUGGCCGGUCAAAGAAGAGAUAUGAAAAAGAUAGCGAAGAAAUAGAAGAGGAUCGUGGCAAUGUGGAGAAUGGGUCCAUAUGCUAAAAAUAACGAGGACGACAAUGAAGAGACCGAGUACGAGGACUAGGACUAGACAGGACAGGACGGAUUGCAAAGAGUACCCCACCCCACGCCAGUUUGGGCCUCAUUUUGUACGUGCCUUAAUAUCUGCCGGAAUGCUGCCGUUUGCCAGUACCAAGAUUUUGACUGCUUUGUAGUUAAGUGUGGAAAACUUGGGCAGCUAGAAAAAAUUUUCAGAGUGAAACUCAGCUUCGCCACCCCCCCC